rnacentral:rRNA from 1 species
UAAGCAGCGUUAGUUAACAAUUACAUAGUGAAACUGCGAAUGGCUCAUUAUAUAAGUUAUCGUUUAUUUGAUAGUUCCUUACUACUUGGAUAACCGUGGUAAUUCUAGAGCUAAUACAUGCUAAAAACCCCGACUUCGGAAGGGGUGUAUUUAUUAGAUUAAAAACCAAUGCCCUUCGGGGCUCACUGGUGAUUCAUAAUAACUUCUCGAAUCGCAUGGCCUUGCGCCGGCGAUGGUUCAUUCAAAUUUCUUCCCUAUCAACUUUCGAUGCUAGAGUAGUGUUCUAGCAUGGUUACAACGGGUAACGGAGGGUUAGGGCUCGACCCCGGAGAAGGAGCCUGAGAAACGGCUACUACAUCCAAGGAAGGCAGCAGGCGCGCAAAUUACCCAAUCCCGACACGGGGAGGUAGUGACGAUAAAUACUGAUACAGGGCUCUUUUGGGUCUUGUAAUUGGAAUGAGUACAAUUUAAAUCCCUUAACGAGGAACAAUUGGAGGGCAAGUCUGGUGCCAGCAGCCGCGGUAAUUCCAGCUCCAAUAGCGUAUAUUAAAGUUGUUGUGGUUAAAAAGCUCGUAGUAGAACCUUGGGCCUGGCUGGCCGGUCCGCCUCACCGCGUGCACUGGUCCGGCCGGGCCUUUCCCUCUGUGGAACCGCAUGCCCUUCACUGGGUGUGCCGGGGAAACAGGACUUUUACUUUGAAAAAAUUAGAGUGCUCCAGGCAGGCCUUUGCUCGAAUACAUUAGCAUGGAAUAAUAGAAUAGGACGUGUGGUUCUAUUUUGUUGGUUUCUAGGACCGCCGUAAUGAUUAAUAGGGACAGUCGGGGGCAUCAUUAUUCAAUUGUCAGAGGUGAAAUUCUUGGAUUUAUUGUAGACU